rnacentral:rRNA from 1 species
ACACGUGGAUAACCUGCCCUUUGGACCGGCAUAACCCCGGGAAACUGGGGAUAAUUCCGGAUAACGCAUAUGUGCUGGAAUGCUUUAUGCGUCAAAUGGAUUCGUCCGCCCAAGGAUGGGUCUGCGGCCUAUCAGGUAGUAGUGGGUGUAAUGUACCUACUAGCCGACAACGGGUACGGGUUGUGAGAGCAAGAGCCCGGAGAUGGAUUCUGAGACAUGAAUCCAGGCCCUACGGGGCGCAGCAGGCGCGAAAACUUUACAAUGCGGGAAACCGUGAUAAGGGGACACCGAGUGUCAGCAUCAUAUGCUGGCUGUCCAGGUGUGUAAAAUACACCUGUUAGCAAGGGCCGGGCAAGACCGGUGCCAGCCGCCGCGGUAACACCGGCGGCCCGAGUGGUGAUCGUGAUUAUUGGGUCUAAAGGGUCCGUAGCCGGUUUGGUCAGUCCUCCGGGAAAUCUGAUAGCUCAACUAUUAGGCUAUCGGGGGAUACUACCAGACUUGGAACCGGGAGAGGUAAGAGGUACUACAGGGGUAGGAGUGAAAUCUUGUAAUCCCCUGUGGGACCACCUGUGGCGAAGGCGUCUUACCAGAACGGGUUCGACGGUGAGGGACGAAAGCUGGGGGCACGAACCGGAUUAGAUA